rnacentral:tRNA from 1 species
AGUAAUAUGCCUGAUAAAAGGAAUAUUUUGAUGAAAUACUUAUGUAAAAUCUUUACUAUUACUA